rnacentral:rRNA from 1 species
UGGGGAAUAUUGCACAAUGGGCGCAAGCCUGAUGCAGUGACGCCGCGUGAGGGAUGACGGCCUUCGGGUUGUAAACCUCUUUCAGCAGGGACGAAGCUUUCGGGUGACGGUACCUGCAGAAGAAGCACCGGCCAACUACGUGCCAGCAGCCGCGGUAAUACGUAGGGUGCGAGCGUUGUCCGGAAUUACUGGGCGUAAAGAGCUCGUAGGCGGUUUGUCGCGUCGUCUGUGAAAUUCUGCAGCUUAACUGCAGGCGUGCAGGCGAUACGGGCAGACUUGAGUACUACAGGGGAGACUGGAAUUCCUGGUGUAGCGGUGAAAUGCGCAGAUAUCAGGAGGAACACCGGUGGCGAAGGCGGGUCUCUGGGUAGUAACUGACGCUGAGGAGCGAAAAGCGUGGGUAGCGAACAGGAUUAGAUACCCUGGUAGUCCACGCCGUAAAACGGUGGGUACUAGGUGUGGGUUCCAUUUCACGGGAUCCGUGCCGUAGCUAACGCAUUAAGUACCCCGCCUGGGGAGUACGGCCGCAAGGCUAAAACUUAAAUGAAUUGACGGGGUCAUAGCUGUUUCCU